AUUGAACGCUGGCGGCAGGCCUAACACAUGCAAGUCGAGCGGAUGAAGGGAGCUUGCUCCUGGAUUCAGCGGCGGACGGGUGAGUAAUGCCUAGGAAUCUGCCUGGUAGUGGGGGAUAACGUCCGGAAACGGGCGCUAAUACCGCAUACGUCCUGAGGGAGAAAGUGGGGGAUCUUCGGACCUCACGCUAUCAGAUGAGCCUAGGUCGGAUUAGCUAGUUGGUGGGGUAAAGGCCUACCAAAGCGACGAUCCGUAACUGGUCUGAGAGGAUGAUCAGUCACACUGGAACUGAGACACGGUCCAGACUCCUACGGGAGGCAGCAGUGGGGAAUAUUGGACGAUGGGCGAAAGCCUGAUCCAGCCAUGCCGCGUGUGUGAAGAAGGUCUUCGGAUUGUAAAGCACUUUAAGUUGGGAGGAAGGGCAGUAAGUUAAUACCUUGCUGUUUUGACGUUACCAACAGAAUAAGCACCGGCUAACUUCG
rnacentral:rRNA from 1 species